rnacentral:lncRNA from 1 species
CCCAGGCCCGGGCGAGUGUAUGCGGGCACGGCCUAGGCCCAGGUGGGCGUGUGCAAGUGCAGCCCGUACGGUUCUCCCACGUGGUCCACGUGUGGUGCAUGGACCGGCGGUCCAUGGAGACUCGCAUGGAUCGGAUGGACGUUUUCCCUUGAUUUCACACGGUCCACCAUGGAUCGAAGGACGUUUCGGGCUGGUUUCUCGCGGUCUAUUGGGGUUUUCAUGGACCAGACAUGCGAUUGGACGGCCC